rnacentral:lncRNA from 1 species
UAGAAUAAGGAGUUAUAUGAAGCUGCUAAAAGAGGUGAUUCUACUGGUGUCCAGUCUGCACUGUCUCAAGGAGCUAAUGUAAACCAUCAGAAUCCUAAAGAGGGUGGAGCUACUUCUCUUCAUGUUGCUGCAA